rnacentral:rRNA from 1 species
UAGUCAUAUGCUUGUCUAAAAGAUUAAGCCAUGCAAGUCCAAGUAUAAGUAACUUAUACUGCGAAACUGCGGAUAGCUCAUUAUAUCAGUUAUAGUUUAUUUGAUGGUACCCUUACUACAUGGAUAACUGUAGUAAUUCUAGAGCUAAUACAUGCCACGAAUCUCCGACCGUAUGGAAGGAGGGCACUUAUUAGAUAAAAAGCCAAUCCCGCAAGGGUCUUUUGGUGAAUCAUAAUAAUUUAGCGAAUCGCAUGAGCUCGUCUCGGCGAUGGGUCAUU